rnacentral:rRNA from 1 species
CGGGUGAGUAACACGUGAGUGACCUGCCUUUUAGACUGGGAACAACUUACCGAAAGGUGAGCUAAUGCCGGAUGAGUUAUAUAAGUGCAUGUUUAUAUAGGAAAAGUUGGGGAGACCUGACGCUGAAAGAUGGACUCGCGUCCCAUUAGCUAGUUGGUAGGGGUAAUGGCCUACCAAGGCGACGAUGGGUAGCCGGCCUGAGAGGGUGGCCGGCCACACUGGGACUGAGACACGGCCCAGACUCCUACGGGAGGCAGCAG